GACGAACCGGACAAACGUUAUUCGGAAUUACUGGGCUUAAAGAGUGCGUAGGCGGCCUGGCAGGUUGGGUGUGAAAUCCCUCGGCUCAACCGAGGAACUGCGCUCAAAACCGCCAGACUUGAGGGAGACAGGGGUGAGCGGAACUGAUGGUGGAGCGGUGAAAUGCGUUGAUAUCAUCAGGAACACCGGUGGCGAAGGCGGCUCACUGGGUCUCUUCUGACGCUGAGGCACGAAAGCUAGGGGAGCGAACGGG
rnacentral:rRNA from 1 species